rnacentral:rRNA from 1 species
UACGUAGGGUGCGAGCGUUGUCCGGAAUUAUUGGGCGUAAAGAGCUUGUAGGCGGUCUGUCGCGUCUGCUGUGAAAAUCCGGGGCUCAACCCCGGACCCGCAGUGGGUACGGGCAGACUAGAGUGUGGUAGGGGAGACUGGAAUUCCUGGUGUAGCGGUGAAAUGCGCAGAUAUCGAGAGGAACACCUGCGGCGAAGGCGGGUUGCUGGGCUGACACUGACGCUGAUGUGCGAAAGCUAGGGGAGCGAACGGG